UGGGAAAGUUAGAAGGAGCGGCUUCUGAAGUACUGUCUAGUAGCCCCACCAGAGUCCCCGCAUCGUGUCUGCCAACCGCAGCGUCCGCUCCAGCCCAGCAGAUCCUUCAGAAAUCGAUCUCAGAGUUGCAAAGGCUUUACAACUCCGACCAGGCACGGAAAGGAAACCCCGGCGCAAUCCCAAGCGUCUACAAACCCGAGAACAGCUUUCGGCCCGCACUCGACCUCUCGCUGGCUUGGCUUACUUUUUAAACCACCUCCACCCCCACCCCCACCCCCACCCCCGCGCGCGCCACUUCCUUCCCCCCACCCCUUUCCUCCUUUGCACCAGCUACAGAAUCGCAGCUAAGAUUCCUCCAAGAAAUUCACAAACACACAACUCACAACUCAGGCAAUGACCGGGGCGGGGGGGUGGGAGGGGGUGACCUGACUAUUCUAAGAUGCCACAAAUGUGGGCCUGUUCUAACCUCAGGAAGCGCAACUCUUCUGUUCAAGCAGGUCAUUGCGCGGGGUCCAUCCGAAGACCCGAGUCCCAGAACUCCCGCUCCAGAGCCCGCUCCACCCGGUCUCUUUGCCUCACUUAGGAACUCGACGUGUCCAGCUGGUUUCCAACCUGACCCCCCACCCCACCCCAGUUUUCGGGGUGGGGGGCACUUUCGGGAAACCCUUGAGAAAGAAGUGUAAAGGAUGGAGAGUCACGUCCUUCCAGGCGGCGGCGGUGGCUGCCCAGCGCCAUCCCACGCCGCUGGCCUGGGUGCAGAGACCGCGGGCGCCCCUGAGCGACAGUCCGCUCUCACCACCAGCCGCGCUGCUUUCGGAGACGAUUUCUCCAUUCUCCGACCAGCGUCGCCGCUGGGAAUAACUAGGAAAGCGCCAGAAAGGGUAAAGGGCUUAUUGUUGAUUUGUUGAUUUGUUUUUAAGGGAAAAGGAGACGGCGAUGUGCUGGCGACUGGCGCACGCGGAGCGAGGGCAGAGAGGGACCGCCGACACUCGGGAUCCCCGGACUCCUUGGGAGUCUCUGGCGGUGUGGGGAGCGCUCUCGACGUUAAAACCCAGUAAAUAGACCAAGGAGUUGUUUCAAUUUCAAGUUCACAAGGAUCCCUCUCUAAUCACUCUUUUCUCUCAUUUUUUUAAUUAAAAAAAUACAGACUAAAGUUAA